AUACGGAAGAUGCGAGCGUUAUCCGGAUUUAUUGGGUUUAAAGGGUGCGUAGGCUGUGCGUUAAGUCAGGGGUGAAAUGCCGUCGCUCAACGACGGAGCUGCCCUUGAUACUGGCGUGCUGGAGUACGGAUGCCGUUGGAGGAAUGAGUGGUGUAGCGGUGAAAUGCUUAGAUAUCACUCAGAACACCGAUUGCGAAGGCAUCUGACGAAUCCGUCACUGACGCUGAGGCACGAAAGCGUGGGGAUAGAACAGGAUUAGAUACCCUGGUACUCCACGCCGUAAACGAUGAUGACUAACCGUCGGCGAUAGGCAGCCGGUGGCCAAGCGAAAGCGAUAAGUCAUCCACCUGGGGAGUACGUCGGCAACGAUGAAACUCAAAGGAAUUGACGGGG
rnacentral:rRNA from 1 species